GACGAACGCUGGCGGCGUGCUUAACACAUGCAAGUCGAACGGAAAGGCCCUGCUUUUGUGGGGUGCUCGAGUGGCGAACGGGUGAGUAACACGUGAGUAACCUGCCCUUGACUUUGGGAUAACUUCAGGAAACUGGGGCUAAUACCGGAUAGGAGCUCCUGCUGCAUGGUGGGGGUUGGAAAGUUUCGGCGGUUGGGGAUGGACUCGCGGCUUAUGAGCUUGUUGGUGGGGUAGUGGCUUACCAGGGCUUUGACGGGUAGCCGGCCUGAGAGGGUGACCGGCCACAUUGGGACUGAGAUACGGCCCAGACUCCUACGGGAGGCAGCAGGGGGGAAUAUUGCACAAUGGGCGGAAGCCUGAUGCAGCGACGCCGCGUGCGGGAUGACGGCUUUUGGGUUGUAAACCGCUUUCGCCUGUGACGAAGCGUGAGUGACGGUAAUGGGUAAAGAAGCACCGGCUAACUACGUG
rnacentral:rRNA from 1 species